rnacentral:tRNA from 1 species
AAAGGGAGACCUAAUUCCGGUAGGAGACGAAAAAAAAGUAGUCCCUACCAAGAAUCAAUCCCAAAAGGUCGGAGCGAGGCGAAAUUGGCUUUCAAACUAGGUUCUGGGUUCACACAAGACCUGAAUCAGGAACAAGGGCUAUUAGCUCAGGUGGUUAGAGCGCACCCCUGAUAAGGGUGAGGUCCCUGGUUCGAGUCCAGGAUGGCCCACCUGCACAGGUGGCAAAAACAAGAGAAGCGAGGAAUCAGCACCUUAUCUUACUUAUAUAGUAAGAGAGAAUGCUGGCUCUGAGUAAAGAGUCCAGAGGAACCUUGAAAACUGCAUAGAGCUAGGUGAAAAAGCCAAAAAAGAAGACCGCAAG